rnacentral:rRNA from 1 species
GAUGAACGCUGGCGGCGUGCCUAAUACAUGCAAGUCGAGCGAACAGACGAGGAGCUUGCUCCUCUGACGUUAGCGGCGGGCGGGUGAGUAACACGUGGAUAACCUACCUAUAAGACUGGGAUAACUUCGGGAAACCGGAGCUAAUACCGGAUAAUAUAUUGAACCGCAUGGUUCAAUAGUGAAAAACGGUUUUGCUGUCACUUAUAGAUGGAUCCGCGCCGCAUUAGCUAGUUGGUAAGGUAACGGCUUACCAAGGCAACGAUGCGUAGCCGACCUGAGAGGGUGAUCGGCCACACUGGAACUGAGACACGGUCCAGACUCCUACGGGAGGCAGCAGUAGGGAAUCUUCCGCAAUGGGCGAAAGCUUGACGGAGCAACGCCGCGUGAGUGAUGAAGGUCUUCGGAUCGUAAAACUCUGUUAUUAGGGAAGAACAAAUGUGUAAGUAACUAUGCACGUCUUGACGGUACCUAAUCAGAAAGCCACGGCUAACUACGUG